CAAAUUAAAGGUACGCAGACGACUACGCGUUACCGUGUUUUUUAAAAAAUGGCGGAAACUUGUAUUUGUAACGUUAUUACUGUUAGAGAUUCACUACCUCCUACAAGCAUUCUUUACUGGUUUCUGAAAGCACGUCACUAAAUAAUAUUUAAAUUCAAAGGAGUUAUAAAUCAAGAGAACAGCAAUGAGAUACCAUAACCACAAAGUGUACUGCCAUGAAACAUCCCUGGAUUUGUCAGACAUCUUUCCAAUAAGCCAAGAAUCGUCGGGGAAGUCUGUCCAAUUACUUUUUUUUUGUACCUGCAUGUAUUUAUUAAACAGAAGUGUACACUCAGCUGAAUUUCAUA